GCGUAAACUUUUGAAUGCCCAUCUUAAGGUAGACGCCAUUGUUGAGGAUGUCAUCAACGAGCACAAGAAAAAUCUUGCAGCUGGCAAGAGUAAUGGCGCAUUAGGAGGCGAAGAUCUAAUUGAUGUCCUACUAAGACUUAUGAAUGACACAAGUCUUCAAUUUCCCAUCACCAACGACAAUAUCAAAGCUGUUAUUGUUGUAAGUACUAUUCAAUACUACAAUCCUAUGCUUAUUCUUACUCCCACAUUCAUUGCCAUAGCUACAAUAUUUUAAAUUUUUUCUACAAAUAAGAAUCUCUUGUUAGAAAAUAAUCUAGUAUUGUAACUUGGCGAUUAUUAAUUUGCAGGACAUGUUUGCUGCUGGAACAGAAACUUCAUCAACAACAACUGUAUGGGCUAUGGCUGAAAUGAUGAAGAAUCCAAGAGUAUUCACCAAAGCUCAAGCAGAAGUGCGAGAAGCCUUUAGGGACAAAGUAUCUUUUGAUGAAAAUGAUGUGGAGGAGCUGAAAUACUUAAAGUUAGUCAUUAAAGAAACAUUGAGACUUCAUCCACCAUCAAGGACAAAGUAUCUUUCGAUGAAAAUGAUGCGGAGGAGCUGAAAUACUUAAAGCUAGUCAUUAAAGAAACUUUGAGACUUCAUCCGCCGUCUCCACUUUUGGUCCCAAGAGAAUGCAGGGAAGAUACGGAUAUAAACGGCUACACUAUUCCUGCAAAGACCAAAGUUAUGGUUAAUGUUUGGGCAUUGGGAAGAGAUCCAAAAUAUUGGGAUGAUGCAGAAAGCUUUAAACCAGAGAGAUUUGAGCAAUGCUCUCUGGAUUUUUAUGGUAAUAAUUUUGAGUUUCUUCCCUUUGGUGGUGGAAGGAGAAUUUGUCCUGGACGCGGAAAGCUUUAAGCCAGAGAGAUUUGAGCAAUGUUCUGUGGAUUUUUUUGGUAAUAAUUUUGAGUUUCUUCCCUUUGGUGGUGGCCGGAGAGUUUGUCCUGGAAUGUCAUUUGGUUUAGCAAAUCUUUACUUGCCAUUGGCUCAAUUGCUCUAUCACUUUGACUGGAAGC
rnacentral:lncRNA from 1 species